UACGAAGGGUGCAAGCGUUACUCGGAAUUACCGGGCGUAAAGCGUGCGUAGGUGGUGCGUUAAGUCUGUCGUGAAAGCCCCGGGCUCAACCUGGGAAUGGCGAUGGAUACUGGCGCGCUAGAGUGCGGUAGAGGAGAGUGGAAUUCCCGGUGUAGCAGUGAAAUGCGUAGAGAUCGGGAGGAACAUCAGUUGCGAAGGCGGCUCUCUGGACCAGCACUGACACUGAGGCACGAAAGCGUGGGGAGCAAACAGG
rnacentral:rRNA from 1 species